AUGUAUUUGGAUUUAAAGGAAACAUUCUGGUGGACCGGAAUGAAGAAGGAUAUUGCAGCAUAUGUAGCAGUUUGUGACGUAUGUCAGAGAGUGAAGGCGGAGCAUCAGAAGCCAGCAGGAUUGUUACAACCAUUGCCGAUACCCGAAUGGAAGUGGGAUAAGAUAGGCAUGGAUUUUAUCACUGGACUACCCAGGACGAAAGCAGGCUAUGACUCGAUAUGGGUAGUAGUUGAUCGUUUGACAAAGGUAGCACAUUUUAUUCCAGUUAAGACCACUUACACCAGUGCUAAGUUGGCAAAGAUAUACAUGACUAGGAUCAUUUGUUUGCAUGGAGUUCCGAGGAGUAUCGUAUCAGAUAGAGGAACCCAGUUUACCUCAAAGUUUUGGAAUUAG
rnacentral:rRNA from 1 species